rnacentral:rRNA from 1 species
AUUGAACGCUGGCGGCAGGCCUAACACAUGCAAGUCGAGCGGCAGCGGGACCUUCGGGUUGCCGGCGAGCGGCGGACGGGUGAGUAAUGCCUAGGAAUCUGCCUGUUAGUGGGGGAUAACGCGGGGAAACUCGCGCUAAUACCGCAUACGUCCUACGGGAGAAAGCGGGGGCUCUUCGGACCUCGCGCUAACAGAUGAGCCUAGGUCGGAUUAGCUAGUUGGUGGGGUAAUGGCCCACCAAGGCGACGAUCCGUAACUGGUCUGAGAGGAUGAUCAGUCACACUGGAACUGAGACACGGUCCAGACUCCUACGGGAGGCAGCAGUGGGGAAUAUUGGACAAUGGGCGAAAGCCUGAUCCAGCCAUGCCGCGUGUGUGAAGAAGGUCUUCGGAUUGUAAACUUCGCAAGAAUGGGAAGAAUGAACGAGUACUAAUACUGCUCGUGAUGACGGUACCAUUUGUAAGCUCCGGCUAACUCCGUGCCAGCCGCCGCCGUAACAC